rnacentral:rRNA from 1 species
UACGAAGGGGGCUAGCGUUGUUCGGAAUUACUGGGCGUAAAGCGCACGUAGGCGGACAUUUAAGUCAGGGGUGAAAUCCCGGGGCUCAACCCCGGAACUGCCUUUGAUACUGGGUGUCUUGAGUCCGGAAGAGGUGAGUGGAAUUGCGAGUGUAGAGGUGAAAUUCGUAGAUAUUCGCAAGAACACCAGUGGCGAAGGCGGCUGACUGGUCCGGUUCUGACGCUGAGGCGCGAAAGCGUGGGGAGCAAACAGG